CCCCAAAUAUUUCUUUUUCAUUUUACAAUUUUUUUUUGUUGUAACUUACUCCAUCAGGUCUGAAACAUGUUCCUUAAAAGGUUUUGGACAGUGAUUUUAACCCUAACGCCAAAAAGAUUAAACCUUUCCCUAGCCCCAUAACCUAAUACCCGGGUAUUACCUUCAGGAAGCCCGAACACCCCAAAUAUAUUUUUUUCAUUUUCCAUUUUUUUUGUUGUAACCAAUUCCAAAUGGUUUGAAUCAUGUUCCUAAAAAGGUUUUGGACAGUGAUUUUAACCCUAAAGCCUCAAACCUUAAAUCUUACCAUAGCCCCAUAAUCUAAUAUCCGGGUAUUACCUUCAGGAAGCCCGAACACCCCAAAUAUUUCUUUUUCAUUUUACAAUUUUCUUUUUGGUGUAACUAACUCCAUAAGGUCUGAAACAUGUUCCUAAAAAGGUUUUGGACAGUGAUUUUAAC